GGGAUUAGAUACCCCACUAUGCUUAGCCUUAAACCUAGGUGUUGAAUUUACAAGCAACAUCCGCCAGGGUACUACAAGCGCUAGCUUAAAACCCAAAGGACUUGACGGUGUCUCAGACCCACCUAGAGGAGCCUGUUCUAGAACCGAUAAUCCCCGUUAAACCUCACCACCCCUUGUUUCCUCCGCCUAUAUACCGCCGUCGCAAGCUUACCCUGUGAAGGGCUAAUAGUAAGCAAGAUGGGUAAAUCCCAAAACGUCAGGUCGAGGUGUAGCUUACGAGGUGGGAAGAAAUGGGCUACAUUUUCUAUACCAGAAUAAUACGAACAGCACCAUGAAAUUAGUGCUCGAAGGUGGAUUUAGUAGUAAAAAACAAAUAGAGAGUCUUUUUGAACCAGGCUCUGAGACGCGCACACACCGCCCC
rnacentral:rRNA from 1 species